rnacentral:lncRNA from 1 species
GUUUUGUGCUGUAUCUUUUAGAUACGUAUAAACAUAUACCAUAAUAUAUUUAAUACAUAUGCUAUGAUGCAUCUACACUGAAAGGUAGGUGGAAUCAUUCCCAUUUUAUAGAGGUAGAACUGAAGACUGAGGGAAGUUAAGUGACUUGAAUAAGGACAUUCAUUAAAUAUAUGCCAGUAAGAGCCCAAGUUGGAAUUUUAUUAUAAAUCUAUCUGGUUCUACUUGACAUCUUCUCCCAUUUUUUUCUCCUCUCAAUGUUUACAGGUGCAACAUGGACCUAAGAACUGUGAAAACAAAAACAUACAUUGAGAAGAAUAAUACCAUUUCUGUUGAUGUAGGAACUGAUGGUCUCUGCUUUGCUUUUUUGUAGUCUGGAGAAGCUCCCUGAAGAGAAUAGCACCUGCUUCCGGGCACCGCGCAUCGUGGAAGCUCAGCGGAUGAGAAGGUUCCCUCGGCUGAGUCUAAACACCAGACUAUUUGACCAUAGAAACCACAUGCCAAGGAUGCCUGAGCCUGGAAGGUGAUAGACAGCUGGCAUUGUUUUGUUUUUCAUCUCAGCAGGCAACAUUUAAGUCAACUUGAUGGUAUUUGAUGGCUGAGUGGAUUCCGGUAUUUUAGCCAAAAAGCGUCAGCUGCUUGCCUUGUGGUCAUGGGUUUUAGAAUUUAAGUGUAUAAUUUUUAGAUUUUAAGGUGAGAAUUUGUUCUUAUUACAUUUUUAUAAAAUCACUAUUAGGAUAAAUAUACUCUAAUAUUUUGGAGACAUUGAUAAACUACAAAAUUUAAGAUAGAAAAGAGUAUUUAUUUUUAGGAAUGUUUCUAUUUAUCAAGAAAUCUAACAUUGUAACAAUGGCUCCAUGUUGAUUAUAAUCCUGCAACAAUAUACUGUUGGCAAUUUGGGGGAUUAAAAUAUGAAAAUAAACGUGGUUGGAAGUUAACUGGCCA